rnacentral:rRNA from 1 species
UACGGAGGAUGCGAGCGUUAUCCGGAUUUAUUGGGUUUAAAGGGUGCGUAGGCGGGCUUUUAAGUCAGCGGUAAAAAUUCGGGGCUCAACCCCGUCCGGCCGUUGAAACUGGGGGCCUUGAGUGGGCGAGAGGUAUGCGGAAUGCGUGGUGUAGCGGUGAAAUGCAUAGAUAUCGCGCAGAACUCCGAUUGCGAAGGCAGCCUACCGGCUUCUGUCUGACGCUGAGGCACGAAAGCGUGGGGAUCGAACAGG